ACACAUGCAAGUCGAACGAGAUGCGUAUCGGAAAGCUUCGGCCGGAAGAUACGUUAUCUAGUGGCGGACGGGUGAGUAACACGUGGGUAACCUGCCUUAUGGAGGGGGAUAACAGAGAGAAAUCACUGCUAAUACCGCAUAAGCACACAGUACCGCAUGGUACAGGGUGAAAAGAUUUAUCGCCAUAAGAUGGACCCGCGUCUGAUUAGCCGGUUGGCAGGGUAAAAGCCUACCAAAGCAACGAUCAGUAGCCGAUCUGAGAGGAUGACCGGCCACAUUGGGACUGAGACACGGCCCAAACUCCUACGGGAGGCAGCAGUGGGGAAUAUUGCACAAUGGGGGAAACCCUGAUGCAGCGACGCCGCGUGAGUGAAGAAGUAUUUCGGUAUGUAAAGCUCUAUCAGCAGGGAAGAUAAUGACAGUACCUGACUAAGAAGCCCCGGCUAACUACGUGCCAGCAGCCGCGGUAAUACGUAGGGGGCAAGCGUUAUCCGGAUUUACUGGGUGUAAAGGGAGCGUAGACGGAAUGGCAAGUCUGAAGUGAAAUACCCGGGCUCAACCUGGGAACUGCUUUGGAAACUGUUGUUCUAGAGUGUUGGAGAGGUAAGUGGAAUUCCUGGUGUAGCGGUGAAAUGCGUAGAUAUCAGGAAGAACACCGGAGGCGAAGGCGGCUUACUGGACAAUAACUGACGUUGAGGCUCGAAAGCGUGGGGAUCAAACAGGAUUAGAUACCCUGGUAGUCCACGCUGUAAACGAUGAAUACUAGGUGUCGGGGUGCAAAGCAUCUCGGUGCCGUCG
rnacentral:rRNA from 1 species